rnacentral:rRNA from 1 species
AACGAACGCUGGCGGCAGGCUUAACACAUGCAAGUCGAACGCAUCGCAAGAUGAGUGGCAGACGGGUGAGUAACGCGUGGGAACAUACCCUUUUCUACGGAAUAGCUCUGGGAAACUGGAAUUAAUACCGUAUACGCCCUACGGGGGAAAGGUUUAUCGGGGAAGGAUUGGCCCGCGUUGGAUUAGCUAGUCGGUGGGGUAAAGGCCUACCAAGGCGACGAUCCAUAGCUGGUCUGAGAGGAUGAUCAGCCACAUUGGGACUGAGACACGGCCCAAACUCCUACGGGAGGCAGCAGUGGGGAAUAUUGGACAAUGGGCGCAAGCCUGAUCCAGCCAUGCCGCGUGAGUGAUGAAGGCCUUAGGGUUGUAAAGCUCUUUCACCGAUGAAGAUAAUGACGGUAGUCGGAGAAGAAGCCCCGGCUAACUUCGUGCCAGCAGCCGCCGUAA